GCGGGAAUAGCUCAGUUGGUAGAGCACGACCUUGCCAAGGUCGGGGUCGCGAGUGCGAGUCUCGUUUCCCGCUCCA
rnacentral:tRNA from 3 species